GCCUCUGCCAGUUCCUGUUCUGUUAUUGCAUUUUUAAGGCUCCUGUCCACAGCAGAAUGCCUGCUGGCAGUUACAGUUGAUAAACUAAGUAGGAGUUUCCUGCUCCAGAGGGAGUGAAGGCACUGGCAGCCACCACUGGCAGCUGGAACUCCCAAGCUACUCCACGACGCGGGAGGUUGCCUGGCAGUCAGUUUUGAUGACCAGGCCUAGGAGCCACUCUCAAAUCCAAUUCUCCCUACUUUUGAACCGAUUCAGAAGACUCGGAGACCUUGAAAAUGAAAUCAAUGAGAUGUUACUGGGAAUAUUUAUAAACCACAUCCUAAUGCUGCCACAGAUAAUGAAAGAAUACUUCGCAGAGUCAAGUCAAUCCAAGAGAGGAUGAGGAAUUUAUUUUCCAUGAUUUCCUAAAUUUACAUAACUCAAACUUCCAGCUUUUGAAUCUGAGAGGCCUUCCAUUUAGCAUCUCUCCAAUCCUCUUUUGAAGAAACCCAAACUGGACAGACAGUUACUGAAUUUUUGUAAUGUCCGAGGCUUCCAGGAGGAGUGACACAUAUCUCUGCUGGAUGAGCUCACAGUUCCAAUGAGAAGAUACAAGCUGAAAGAUUGCAGCAGAACUGGGAAGUGAAAGCACGGAGAGGCUGUGGGACAUGGAGGAGGGGCGGUAAGAUUGAGAAAGAGGUAACAGUUGGGGUGACUUUGGACCUGAGACCUGGGCAGGCAUAAGAAGUCUCACUCUCUAUUCCAUUCUUGGCAGGGGAUGUUUCUUUGUACCAGGUAGCUUUGCGCUUGUUUUGUUCCAUAAAAGUAAAUCUCUGUUCACUAAGGAAUUAUGGUAGUGAAUGGUGACUCUCCGGAAUUAUAGGGCUAAUUCCAAAAUAAUCUUAGUUUUAUUCCCCCACAUUGUAAUAUUAACACUUGGGAAUUUUGUUUAUCGCGAUGUUUAAUAAUUUGGCCAGCAGAGGGCACUGCAUACUGACAGUCUCUCCACACCAGUCGCUCAAAUCCUCAAGAGUUCCCGAAGUGUUAGGCUUAACUCAGGGGUGUUUGCAAGUGCUUUGCUCUUCUGUUUCAGACAUAAACAUAUGUCAGAAAUUAAAAGAGGGUUGUGAAGCAGGAAAUUAGAUUAACAGUAGCAUAUAAUUUCCCUCUAUUUGUUAAUAAAGAGAAAAAAUAUUGGUAUGUACACCCAUGUCUACAGGGUUUUAAAUGUAGCUGUAUUAAUUAAUGUAUUAAUAAUAUGAUAACACUACUUCUUGCAUAAAUCAACAUAACUUCUAAAUUCUCUUUGAAAAUAUUUUUGGUUUUAUAUUGUGGUUUAAUUCUCAAUCAUAAACUAAAAAGUAAAAAAACCUGAUGCCUAAUGUUAUACUUUCUUUCAAACCUUAAGAUAGAUAUUAUUGUUUGAAUAGUAUCAAAAUAUUGUGGUUCUGCACAAAUGCUUUUUAUAACUUCUUACGAUGAUAUUUUAAUUUCUAUUUCCACAUAUGGAUAUGAGUAUUCGAAAACAUUUGACGCACAAUUUUCUUCUCUUCAUCUCCCCAUUAUAAAAAUGUAAAGGUGUGUUUUAAAACCCGUUUGCUCUUGGUUAAACUUGACAAUGUGGAGACCCCUUUGUUAGCUGGUCCUAUGAGUUAAUGCACAGCCUUUGUGUUUUUCAUUUAAGG
rnacentral:lncRNA from 1 species